CUCCUGACUCAGCCUCCCAAGUAGCUGGGACUGCAGGCGCCUGCCACCUCGCCUGGCUAAUUUUUUGUAUUUUUAGUAGAGAUGGGGUUUGCUGUGUUAGCCAGGAUGGUCUCGAUCUCCUGACCUCGUGAUCCACCCGCCUUGGCCUCCCAAAGUGCUGGGAUUAUAGGCGUGAGCCACCGCGCCCUGACAAGACUUUUAUAAAUUGCCAGACUGCAUUGCAUAAACCAAAUGGCAACAGAGAGGUGACCUUUCAAAUUACUGGCACAACAGGAGCCAAAAUCAGAAAAGGUCCAACUUAAAGCAAACACUGACAAGAAAUCCGACAGAAAUGACUUCUGUGUCUGGUCAACGUAACAUAACGUGACAUUGUAAAGCGUAUUUGGCUUUUUAGGUAGAAUUGUGUAUAAAGGUUUAACUGCUUUAGAAAAUAUAAAUCUGAAGAUUUGUGGUAUUUGGGUUUGUAUAGAAGAUUUUUCUACAUUUAAAAGAGACAGAGUGGAAAAGCUUGGUAUAAGAUUUGUAAAACGUAUUUGUAAUAAUGCUAAUAGAAGAGGUGAGAGUUGGGUGGGGUGGGGUGUAGAUGGGAACAUAGUUUGGGGAUUGGGGAAAGGGAAGUUAUGCUGUAAAUAAAAUAGUGAGGCAUGUUAUAGAAAGUGUGUUUUAUGUCUCAAUUGAAAUGUUAUAGAGAUAAAUUUAAAAUAGAUCAUGAUGGGUUUUGAAUCUGAUUUCUAAUUUUAAAAUGUUAGGAGCUUUUGUUGCUUUCCUAGUUCAUACACAUUUCUUUAUGGGUUUCACUUAGGCUCCAUGAAACUGCAGAUGCCAAUUACCUUUUAACAAAAUUAAAUUCACAUAUAUGUAUAAUUCACAUGUAUAUAUUCGUGGAAUUUUUUAUUCUAUACAUGAUAUAUUAUUUUAAAAUGGUUUAUCAAUGACAAAACAAAAAGUAUAAUUUUUCUGUACUU